UACGAAAGGUGCUAGCGUUGUUCGGAAUUACUGGGCGUAAAGCGCACGUAGGCGGCCUUGUAAGAUGGGGGUGAAAUCCCCGGGCUCAACCCGGGAAUUGCCUUCAUGACUGCAAAGCUCGAGGAUGCGAGAGGUGAAUGGAAUUCCGAGUGUAGAGGUGAAAUUCGUAGAUAUUCGGAAGAACACCAGUGGCGAAGGCGAUUCACUGGCGCAUUUCUGACGCUGAGGUGCGAAAGCGUGGGGAGCAAACAGG
rnacentral:rRNA from 1 species